AGAGUUUGAUCCUGGCUCAGAUCGAACGCUGGCGGCAGGCCUAACACAUGCAAGUCGAGCGGAUGAAGGGAGCUUGCUCCUGAAUUCAGCGGCGGACGGGUGAGUAAUGCCUAGGAAUCUGCCUAGUAGUGGGGGGCAACAGUUGGAAACGACUGCUAAUACCGCAUACGUCCUACGGGAGAAAGUGGGGGAUCUUCGGACCUCACGCUAUUAGAUGAGCCUAGGUCGGAUUAGCUUGUUGGUGAGGUAAUGGCUCACCAAGGCGACGAUCCGUAACUGGUCUGAGAGGACGAUCAGUCACACUGGAACUGAGACACGGUCCAGACUCCUACGGGAGGCAGCAGUGGGGAAUAUUGGACAAUGGGCGAAAGCCUGAUCCAGCCAUGCCGCGUGUGUGAAGAAGGUCUUCGGAUAGUAAAGCACUUUAAGUUGGGAGGAAGGGCUGUUACCUAAUACGUGACGGUUUUGACGUUACCAACAGAAUAAGCACCGGCUAACUUCGUGCCAGCAGCCGCGGUAAUACGAAGGGUGCAAGCGUUAAUCGGAAUUACUGGGCGUAAAGCGCGCGUAGGUGGUUCAGUAAGUUGGAAGUGAAAGCCCCGGGCUCAACCUGGGAACUGCUUUCAAAACUGCUGAGCUAGAGUACGGUAGAGGGUAGUGGAAUUUCCUGUGUAGCGGUGAAAUGCGUAGAUAUAGGAAGGAACACCAGUGGCGAAGGCGACUACCUGGACUGAUACUGACACUGAGGUGCGAAAGCGUGGGGAGCAAACAGGAUUAGAUACCCUGGUAGUCCACGCCGUAAACGAUGUCAACUAGCCGUUGGAAUCCUGAAGAUUUUAGUGGCGCAGCUAACGCAUAAAGUUGACCGCCUGGGGAGUAGGCACGCAAGGUUAAAACUCAAAUGAAUUAACGGGGGCCCGCACAAGCGGUGGAGCAUGUGGUUUAAUUUGAAGCAACG
rnacentral:rRNA from 1 species